UGGGGAAUAUUGGACAAUGGGCGAAAGCCUGAUCCAGCCAUGCCGCGUGUGUGAAGAAGGUCUUCGGAUUGUAAAGCACUUUAAGUUGGGAGGAAGGGCAGUAAGCGAAUACCUUGCUGUUUUGACGUUACCGACAGAAUAAGCACCGGGUAACUCUGUGCCAGCAGCCGCGGUAAUACAGAGGGUGCAAGCGUUAAUCGGAAUUACUGGGCGUAAAGCGCGCGUAGGUGGUUCGUUAAGUUGAAUGUGAAAGCCCCGGGCUCAACCUGGGAACUGCAUCCAAAACUGGCGAGCUAGAGUAGGGCAGAGGGUGGUGGAAUUUCCUGUGUAGCGGUGAAAUGCGUAGAUAUAGGAAGGAACACCAGUGGCGAAGGCGACCACCUGGGCUCAUACUGACACUGAGGUGCGAAAGCGUGGGGAGCAAACAGG
rnacentral:rRNA from 1 species